AUGCAGUUCUGACACGCUAGAGCUGGCAUGAGGGUGCGUUUGAAGCCUGUGCACGGGGCGUUUUGUCCUGUGCUCAUUUAGAGCGGUCUGGCCUCUGUUGUUUCCGGCUCCACCUCAUACGAUACAGGGCGACAGGGAUGACUGCUGUACCAAAGCCAUCCUUUCACAGAUCGCUCUGCGCGAACCUGGACGCGGCUCGCUCUUCAGGAGGGUGUCGGGGAGGAGAGGAAAAAGAUUUGUCUAAGAUGCUUAGCGCAGUUUCCAGCAAGACGAGGGCAGCGUUGCGUUGGCUCCUUACCAGAUUGAUUAUUUCAACUCUCUGUAGCCCUAAAACGACGACUGUGGGGGGAAAACCGGCAUGGGUUUUGCAUGCAUGGAUGAAAAUAUUUCGAACAGCUGGUCGGGUCACCACACUCAGCUCGCUCUCUCUACUCAGGAUGUGUUUGUUGAUUUGCAAAGAAAACAAAAUGGCCAAAUAAAGGGGAAUCUAUGGAGAAU